CAGUGGUGACAUAAACGUCAAAGUCUUGAAAUGCCCUAUUAACUCAGAAACAUAGAGAAAUAAAAUUUCUCUAUGCUCAGAAAUGUCCAAAAAGAGAUAUGACAUAUGACAUGACUGACAAGUUUGUUGAUUGUUGUAUCCAUUAUCCAUUUCCUAGCGAAUAGCGAUUUUGUUUUUAGUUUGUUUAUUGUUUAUUUGUUACUUUAACUUUACGAUUGUUAGCUUAGCUAUGGAGUGUAACAUUAAAAUCAAGGAAGAGUCUGUUGAAUGUGGCCAAAGGUACAUAGAGAAUCAGCUAUUCACAUCAACCAAUCUUGAGGACAUAAAGAAUGGACCAGCUGGUAAUUCAAGUAACACAACUAGGGCAGUAAAAGCUGAAAUUAAGAAAGAGUUCCUUGAAAGUGAUCCAAGAUAUAUAAAGGGUGAGGUAUUCACCUCCUUUGAUCUGAGAGACUUAAAGAAGGAACCAGAUGAGUAUAACUCAGGAUUCUUGGUUUGAUCUUUGAAGCCGAUAUACCCUCUCCUUGGACGUUAUGUUCGAUCAGCGGUACUUCCAUUUUCAUAAAGGUAACUGAUCAGGAAGUAAAAGCUAAAGUUAAGGAAGAUUUAGAGAGUCAGCUAUCCACCUCUCAUGAUCUGGGAGACUUGAAGAAUGAAC
rnacentral:misc_RNA from 1 species